rnacentral:misc_RNA from 1 species
GAUGAAGAACGCAGUGAAAUGCGAUAAGUAAUGUGAAUUGCAGAAUUCAGUGAAUCAUCGAAUCUUUGAACGCACAUUGCGCCCGCAAGUAUUCUGGCGGGCAUGCCUGUUCGAGCGUCAUUUCAACCAUCAAGCCCCAGGCUUGUGUUGGGGACCUGCGGCUGCCGCAGGCCCUGAAAACCAGUGGCGGGCUCGCUGUCACACCGGGCGUAGUAGAUUUUAUCUCGCUCAGGGCGUGCUGCGGGUCCCGGCCGUUAAAAGCCUUUUUUUACCCAAGGUUGACCUCGGAUCAGGUAGGAAGACCCGCUGAACUUAAGCAUAUCAAUAAGCGGAGGA